GGGCCUAUAGCUCAGCUGGUNNNGAUAAGCGUGAGGUCGAUGGUUCGAGUCCAUUUAGGCCCA
rnacentral:tRNA from 1 species